UCUCCCAAAACUCUCUCAAACGCUCUCCCAAUCUCUCUCAAAUUCUGUUUCUCUCUCUCUCUCUCUACUUUGGGUCCAGCAGUGAAGGAAGAAGAAAUCCGAAGUUCUCUCUCUCCCGUAGUGUAUCCUUGUGUGUUCGGUUUAUGAUGUUAAUGAAAGGGAAGAGAAUGAAGAAAACAAAAGAAGGAACACCUUGUUGCUCUCACGAGUUACAUCUCUUUUAAAAGGAAAUGAGAAAAAUACUCUGUUUCAUGUGCUACAGCAAGGGUGCAGUUUUAGCCCCUUUUCUAGAAGCCUUUGUCACCAAUUGUAUGGAAACCCUUUUGGAAGCAAAAGAAGGAUUUGAGAACGAAGAGUACCAGGACUAUCCAGAUGCUUAGAUGGAUCUGAGUAGCAGUCUUUUCCUGUGUUGUGGUCUCUUGGAUGUGAUAGACUACCCUUCUUAGUUUAUUAUCCCAUGCACCAGUGUCAAACUCUUUUUAUAUGCCUCUUC